GAUGAACGCUGGCGGCGUGCCUAAUACAUGCAAGUCGAGCGAACAGACGAGGAGCUUGCUCCUCUGACGUUAGCGGCGGACGGGUGAGUAACACGUGGAUAACCUACCUAUAAGACUGGGAUAACUUCGGGAAACCGGAGCUAAUACCGGAUAAUAUAUUGAACCGCAUGGUUCAAUAGUGAAAGACAGUUUUGCUGUCACUUAUAGAUGGAUCCGCGCCGCAUUAGCUAGUUGGUAAGGUAACGGCUUACCAAGGCAACGAUGCGUAGCCGACCUGAGAGGGUGAUCGGCAACACUGGAACGGAGACACGGUCCAGACUCCUACGGGAGGCAGCAGUAGGGAAUCUUCCGCAAUGGGCGAAAGCCUGACGGAGCAACGCCGCGUGAGUGAUGAAGGUCUUCGGAUCGUAAAACUCUGUUAUUAGGGAAGAACAAAUGUGUAAGUAACUAUGCACGUCUUGACGGUACCUAAUCAGAAAGCCACGGCUAACUACGUG
rnacentral:rRNA from 1 species